rnacentral:rRNA from 1 species
AUUGAACGCUGGCGGCAGGCUUAACACAUGCAAGUCGAGCGGAGAUGAGGUGCUUGCACCUUAUCUUAGCGGCGGACGGGUGAGUAAUGCUUAGGAAUCUGCCUAUUAGUGGGGGACAACAUUCCGAAAGGAAUGCUAAUACCGCAUACGUCCUACGGGAGAAAGCAGGGGAUCUUCGGACCUUGCGCUAAUAGAUGAGCCUAAGUCGGAUUAGCUAGUUGGUGGGGUAAAGGCCUACCAAGGCGACGAUCUGUAGCGGGUCUGAGAGGAUGGUCCGCCACACUGGGACUGAGACACGGCCCAGACUCCUACGGGAGGCAGCAGUGGGGAAUAUUGGACAAUGGGGGAAACCCUGAUCCAGCCAUGCCGCGUGUGUGAAGAAGGCCUUAUGGUUGUAAAGCACUUUAAGCGAGGAGGAGGCUACUGAGACUAAUACUCUUGGAUAGUGGACGUUACUCGCAGAAUAAGCACCGGCUAACUACGUGCCAGCCGCCGCCGUAA